AAUGGUGAAAAAUGAGGGCAAAAGGACCUGGAGGGGGAGAGGGAGGUGACGUUCCUGGAGGCGUCGAGGUUCGCACAGGAAAAUGAGUUGAUGUUUUUGGAGACGAGCGCUCUGACGGGGGAGAACGUGGAGGAGGCGUUCCUGAAAUGCGCCCGAAGCAUCCUCAACAAAAUCGACUCCGGGGAGCUGGACCCGGAGCGGAUGGGGUCGGGGAUCCAAUUUGGGGAUUCGUCGCUGCGGCAGCUCCGACAGCCCCGGGGGGCUCCGACCCCAACCCGGCAGAGCUGCGGCUGCUGAGAGACCCCAAAAUGGGGGAAAAUGGUGAG